UACGGGGGGGGCAAGCGUUGUUCGGAAUUACUGGGCGUAAAGGGCUCGUAGGUGGCCAACUAAGUCAGACGUGAAAUCCCUCGGCUUAACCGGGGAACUGCGUCUGAUACUGGAUGGCUUGAGUUUGGGAGAGGGACGCGGAAUUCCAGGUGUAGCGGUGAAAUGCGUAGAUAUCGGGAGGAACACCGGUGGCGAAGGCGGCUCUCUGGACCACUACUGACGCUGAGGCGCGAAAGCUAGGGGAGCAAACAGG
rnacentral:rRNA from 1 species